rnacentral:misc_RNA from 1 species
UUAUCACCUCUCAAGCCUGGCUUGCUGUUGGAUCUUGGUUAUGUUUAGGCAUGACCGAUCUCAAAGAUAAUGAGGCGUCUGUGAGGACCCCAGUACACUGAGCUUUCUAAGCACGUAUUUGGAGGGAGUCCAGGCCCGGUCUUACCCAUAUUUUUAACAAGGUUGACCUCGGAUCAGGUAGGAAUACCCGCUGAACUUAA